rnacentral:snRNA from 1 species
GUGCUCGCAUCAGCAGCACAUGUACUAAAAUUGAAAUGAUACAGAGUAGAUUAGCAUGGCCCCAGUGUAAGGAUGACAUGCAAAUUCGUAAGCAUCCAUAUUUUUUA